CCACAUGACCCCAUAUAUCCUCAUGUGCCCCCAUAUGCCCCCAUAUAUCCCCAUAUGACCCCAUGUGUCCCCAUAUAUCCCAUAUAUUCCCCUAUAUCCCCAUAUGACCCCAUAUAUCCCAUAUAUCCCCAUAUGACCCCAUAUAUCCCAUAUAUCCCCAUAUGACCCCAUAUGUCCCCAUAUAUCCCAUAUAUCCCCAUAUUUCCCCAUAUGACCCCAUAUAUCCCAUAUAUCCCCAUAUGACCCCAUAUGACCCCAUAUAUCCCAUAUAUCCCCAUAUUUCCCCAUAUGACCCCAUAUACCCCAUAUAUCCCAUAUAUCCCCAUAUGACCCCAUAUUUCCCAUAUAUCCCAUAUACCCCAUACGCCCCCACUGACCCCAUCCAUCCCAUAUAUCCCCCCAUAUCCCCAUCCAUCCCCAUGACCCCAUACGGACCCACACGUCCCCAGGUGGCGCAGCCUAUGGGGCCGCCUGUGGGGCCGCCUGUGGGGUCUCCUAUGGGGUCUCCUAUGGGGUCUCCUAUGGGGCCGCCUGUGGGGCAGCGCCUGGCGGCGGCGGCCGAACGCAACGCGGCGCGGCUGCGGCGGCUGCGCGGGGAGCUGGAAGCGAUGGAGGCGGAGCUGCGGGAGCGGCGGCACCGCGGGGGGGGGCGGCGGGAACGGUGA
rnacentral:lncRNA from 1 species